GAUGAGUAAAGUGGCGAACGGGUGAGUAAACACGUAGGUAAUCUGCCCUUCAGCCUGGGAUAACUUCGCGAAAGCGGGGCUAAUACCAGAUGAUAUUCGGGAAGUGCAUGCUUCCUGGAUCAAAGGUGGCCUCUGACUCAAGCUAUCACUGAAAGAUGAGCCUGCGGCUGAUUAGCUUGUUGGUAGGGUAAUGGCCUACCAAGGCUGCGAUCAGUAGCCGGCCUGAGAGGGUGAUCGGUCACACUGGAACUGAAACACGGUCCAGACUCCUACGGGAGGCAGCAGUGGGGAAUAUUGCGCAAUGGGCGAAAGCCUGACGCAGCAACGCCGCGUGGGUGAUGAAAGCCUUCGGGUUGUAAAGCCCUGUCAAGUGGAACGAAUCUCUCUUGAGCGAAUACCUCGAGAGAAUGACGGUACCACCAGAGGAAGCCCCGGCGAACUACGUGCCAGCAGCCGCGGUAAUCGUAGGGGGCAAGCGUUGUUCGGAAUUACUGGGGCGUAGAGAGCGCGUAAGCGGUCAGGUAAGUCAGGUGUGAAAUCCCUCAGCUCAACUGAGGUUUGGCGCUUGAAACUAUCUGACUUGAGUUUAGGAGAGGAGAGUGGAAUUCCACGGUGUAGCGGUGAAAUGCGUAGAUAUUGGGAGGAACACCGGUGGCGAAGGCGGCUCUCUGGACUAUUACUGACGCUGAGGCGCGAAAGCUAGGGGAGCAAACAGGAUUAGAUACCCUGGUAGUCCUAGCCGUAAACGAUGGGCACUAAGUGUGGGAGGUAUCGACCCCUUCCGUGCCGCAGCUAACGCAUUAAGUGCCCCGCCUGGGGAGUAUGGCCGCAAGGUUGAAACUCAAAGGAAUUGACGGGGGCCCGCACAAGCGGUGGAGCAUGUGGUUUAAUUCGACGCAACGCGAAGAACCUUACCAGGGCUUGACAUCCUGCGAAUUUCGGCGAAAGCCGGAAGUGCCCGCAAGGGAGCGCAGAGACAGUUGGUGCAUGGCUGUCGUCAGCUCGUGUCGUGAGAUGUUGGGUUAAGUCCCGCAACGAGCGCAACCCUCACCCUUUGUUGCCAUCAGGUAACGCUGGGCACUCUAAGGGAACUGCCUCGGUUAACGGGGAGGAAGGUGGGGACGACGUCAAGUCAUCAUGCCCCUUACGCUCUGGGCUACACACGUGCUACAAUGGCCAAUACAAAGGGCUGCAAACCCGAAAGGGGGAGCCAAUCCCAAAAAGUUGGUCUCAGUUCGGAUUGUAGGCUG
rnacentral:rRNA from 1 species